rnacentral:rRNA from 1 species
UACGAAGGGGGCUAGCGUUGUUCGGAAUAACUGGGCGUAAAGCGCACGUAGGCGGACUUUUAAGUCAGGGGUGAAAUCCCGGGGCUCAACCCCGGAACGGCCUUUGAUACUGGCAGUCUGGAGUCCGGAAGAGGUGAGUGGAAUUGCGAGUGUAGAGGUGAAAGUCGUAGAUAUUCGCAGGAACACCAGUGGCGAAGGCGGCUCACUGGUCCGGUACUGACGCUGAGGUGCGAAAGCGUGGGGAGCAAACAGG